rnacentral:lncRNA from 1 species
UUGAACUUCUGUGCAGUUGCUAAGUCUUUGCUCUCAGGACAAUUCACAAUCAGAUUAUUGCGAUAAGGAAACUCUCGUGUCACGACCCACUGGCGUCUGGCUAAUCCGAUGGUAUUCGUCGCCGCAUUGUCCGUGAUCAAUAACUAAUUAUCAAAGUGGCAUUUCUUUUCAAGAGCUCCUUGUUAAAAAAUGGCUUUUGGCUGAGACUAGAGGAAAAAGGUCGCCACUUUGACAUCGUUGCAAGUCUUUCAAAAUCCAGUGGGCCGUCCAAUUGAAUUACUGUCCCAAACUAAUUGAUAUAAAUUUGAACAGAAGAAUGCU